rnacentral:lncRNA from 1 species
CUUCCACGUGGACUGUUUUGAACAUAGUUUGGCACCACCAAAAUCCCAGCUGGAAGCAUGCUCAGGUGUGCAACACAGGGAACCCAGAGGGGGCAGGAGGCAGAAUGGGCAGAGGAAGAAAGAAGUUGCGAGUCGCCAGGGAGUCAGAAAGCAGCCCCAGUUCCUGCACACUCGGGACCUGGUCUAGCAGGUGACGCUGCGUGCCUGAAGGGACCACUGUGAUGACGAUGAAGAAGUCAUCCUGAGGAGAGC